AACGAACGCUGGCGGCAUGCUUAACACAUGCAAGUCGAACGCGUGUCUGGCUUCGGCCGGGCACGAGUGGCGCACGGGUGAGUAGCGCGUGGGAACCUGCCCUGUUGUGGGGGAUAACCGAGGGAAACCUCGGCUAAUACCGCAUAAGCCGGAGCGAUCCGGGAAAGAUUUAUCGCGACAGGAGGGGCCCGGCGUCGGAUUAGCUUGUUGGUGGGGUAACGGCCUACCAAGGCGAUGAUCCGUAGCUGGUCUGAGAGGAUGAUCAGCCACACUGGGAC
rnacentral:rRNA from 1 species